rnacentral:rRNA from 1 species
AACCCCUGUGAACAUACCUUAAUGUUGCCUCGGCGGAUCAGCCCGCGCCCCGUAAAACGGGACGGCCCGCCAGAGGACCCAAACUCUAAUGUUUCUUAUUGUAACUUCUGAGUAAAACAAACAAAUAAAUCAAAACUUUCAACAACGGAUCUCUUGGUUCUGGCAUCGAUGAAGAACGCAGCAAAAUGCGAUAAGUAAUGUGAAUUGCAGAAUUCAGUGAAUCAUCGAAUCUUUGAACGCACAUUGCGCCCGCUGGUAUUCCGGCGGGCAUGCCUGUUCGAGCGUCAUUUCAACCCUCAAGCCCCCGGGUUUGGUGUUGGGGAUCGGCUCUGCCUUCUGGCGGUGCCGCCCCCGAAAUACAUUGGCGGUCUCGCUGCAGCCUCCAUUGCGUAGUAGCUAACACCUCGCAACUGGAACGCGGCGC